UCGGCACCUGACAGCAGUUCCAUGUCCAAUCUGAAGAGGUAUUGACAUGCUAAAUUUUGUUAGUAAGAUAGUCAGGAUGUGAUACAUAGGAGAAGCAGUACAUAUCUGGAUGUUACCUACAUAUAAUGAUGUAAAGUGGUGCUGCAGUGUAAAAAAAUCAUAUGCAAGGUGAUUCCUCAUAUCAGACCAAUGGUACUCGCCAGUGGUGAGUAAUGGAUGGGGGAGCUACUCCCCGAUUACCGGAACCCACAGGUUGCAGUAUACCAAGCAUCUUCCAAGCCCAGUUGAUCCUAUUGUCAAUUGUCAGUUUCCAGCUGCUUUUGGUAAAAAGAAAUGUAGUCACAUAUAUGGCAAUGAAGAUUCAUCGAGUUUUCAGAUGAUGUAUGCCAAUGACUGGUUAGCAAACCAUGUACAUAAAACUGAAUACUUUUGCCAUAGCCUGGAUCAACAAAGUGCAAUGUAGUAAGAAGCAGGGCAUCCGAUACAAUUGUAAAUUACCAGUUGCCAUCUUUUUUCAGAAACAAAAUGCU
rnacentral:lncRNA from 1 species